GCCGGGACUACGCCGGGCGAGGGCGGCUGACGCCGCGCUGUGAACUCGGCGGGG
rnacentral:sRNA from 1 species